rnacentral:rRNA from 1 species
UACGGAGGGUGCAAGCGUUAAUCGGAAUUACUGGGCGUAAAGCGCACGUAGGCGGUUUGUUAAGUCAGAAGUGAAAUCCCCGGGCUUAACCUGGGAACUGCAUUUGAUACUGGUAAGCUUGAGUGUCGUAGGGGGUGGUGGAAUUCCAGGUGUAGCGGUGAAAUGCGUAGAUAUCCGGAGGAAUACCGGUGGCGAAGGCGGCCCCCUGGACCGAGACUGACGCUGAGGUGCGAAAGCGUGGGGAGCAAACAGG